UAAUACGUAGGGCGCAAGCGUUGUCCGGAAUUAUUGGGCGUAAAGAGCUCGUAGGCGGCUUGUCGCGUCGGUUGUGAAAGCCCGGGGCUUAACCCCGGGUCUGCAGUCGAUACGGGCAGGCUAGAGUUCGGUAGGGGAGAUCGGAAUUCCUGGUGUAGCGGUGAAAUGCGCAGAUAUCAGGAGGAACACCGGUGGCGAAGGCGGAUCUCUGGGCCGAUACUGACGCUGAGGAGCGAAAGCGUGGGGAGCGAACAGGAUUAGAUACCCUGGUAGUCCACGCCGUAAACGGUGGGAACUAGGUGUUGGCGACAUUCCACGUCGUCGGUGCCGCAGCUAACGCAUUAAGCGCCCCGCCUGGGGAGUACGGCCGCAAGGCU
rnacentral:rRNA from 1 species